rnacentral:misc_RNA from 1 species
AAGUCGUAACAAGGUUUCCGUAGGUGAACCUGCGGAAGGAUCAUUAUUGAAAGUCCCACCCUGGGGAAGUGCCGUUCGCGGUACGACCCAACCACCCUGUGAACCUGUCCCUUCAUCGUUUUUUAACGCCAGUCGUCGAAUGUGAUAUCAAACAAAAAGAAAGAACAACUUUCAGCAACGGAUCUCUUGGUUCUC